rnacentral:rRNA from 1 species
UACGUAGGGGGCUAGCGUUGUCCGGAAUCAUUGGGCGUAAAGAGCGUGUAGGCGGUCCGGUAAGUCCGCUGUGAAAGUCGGGGGGCUCAACCCUCGAAUGCCGGUGGAUACUGUCGGGCUAGAGUGCGGAAGAGGCGAGUGGAAUUCCUGGUGUAGCGGUGAAAUGCGCAGAUAUCAGGAGGAACACCUAUUGCGAAGGCAGCUCGCUGGGACGUAACUGACGCUGAGAACGCGAAAGCGUGGGGAGCAAACAGG